rnacentral:rRNA from 1 species
AAAUUCACAGAAUGAACUGGGUGCGAAACUAUUUCACACCCCUAACCCUUUUGUGUAGCGCCCGCCACGCCGGCGCCACACCCUACGGUGCAGCGCCUAGCUCCGAGGCGUUGCACCUCUGUCCACCGUGGCAACCCACGGGCCCGCACCCAGCAGUGCAACGCCUCCGAGCUAGGCGCUGCACCUGUAAUGUGGAGCGCCUAGCCGCUAGGCGUUGCACGUGUAAUGUGCAGCGCCUAGCGGCUAGGCG